UAGGAUGGGGGCGAGCUUGUGGAGUGUCUGUGACCUACACCAGGCUAACUUCUCCUGCCCCCCAG
rnacentral:miRNA from 1 species